rnacentral:rRNA from 1 species
GACGAACGCUGGCGGCGUGCUUAACACAUGCAAGUCGAACGGAAAGGCCCUGCUUUUGUGGGGUGCUCGAGUGGCGAACGGGUGAGUAACACGUGAGUAACCUGCCCUUGACUUUGGGAUAACUUCAGGAAACUGGGGCUAAUACCGGAUAGGAGCUCCUGCCGCAUGGUGGGGGUUGGAAAGUUUCGGCGGUUGGGGAUGGACUCGCGGCUUAUCAGCUUGUUGGUGGGGUAGUGGCUUACCAAGGCUUUGACGGGUAGCCGGCCUGAGAGGGUGACCGGCCACAUUGGGACUGAGAUACGGCCCAGACUCCUACGGGAGGCAGCAGUGGGGAAUAUUGCACAAUGGGCGGAAGCCGGAUGCAGCAACGCCGCGUGCGGGAUGACGGCCUUCGGUUGUAAACCGCUUUCGCCUGUGACGAAGCGUGAGUGACGGUAAUGGGUAAAGAAGCACCGGCUAACUACGUG